GUGAUCCUCCUGCCUCAGCCUCCAAGUUACUGGGAUUACAGUGUCUAGAAGAUUCUUGAACAGAAUGGUAUGAAUCUCUGUAUCUUUGUACCUCACAACCUGAUUGAAGACACGGUGUCAUCUAUGAGGCUCCACAUUUAUUUAAAGGAAAAAUGAAUUUGGUAUGAAAAGCAGGGCAUUUUGGCUAAAAAGUUCUCUCCUCGUGUUUUCUUCUGUAUGACUAAUUGCCAGGCUGGGUUUUUCCCUCUGUAUUUACCAACAGGGUGGUUGGCCUUUUCCUCACAAAUAAAAACUUAUCUUCUUGCUAAGACCUUCAAAAGAGUCAAUAGAAGGAGAACAAAGAAGGAAGGAAGAACUAAUGCCUCUGGCCAGUCGAAAUCUCCAGGACCUAGUAGCCCUGCUGUGUUGGACACUCCAGCUUAACAUUUUUAUCUAGAAUUUAGUGUCCGUUUAAAUGUAGAAUAUAACUGACCUUUAUUUUCAUUAUUUUUGACCAUCCAUUGCUCCUCAUACAUUCCUGAAAAAUGAAGACAGUGGAUUGCAAUUACAGAUAAAAACAUUAUUGUGCAUGCAAUGGGUGGGGAAAUAGAAUACCUGACCUUUUGUGGCUUCUGAGGAUUUUCUUGAUUUUUCAGUGUCAUGGAAUCCUUGAUAGUGAAGGCAUCUGAUUUGAGCUGGCAUUUCAAUUAGUAACUGACCUGGUUCACUGACAAGCUUCACCUCCAUAGAGAAAAGGCAGCAGAACACACCCGCCAACUCAGCACCCAGACUGUGCUGCAAAGGAAGGUGCAGUGCUGUCCCUCAGAGCCACCGACUCUGGACCUCGAGAAGCUUAGGCAGGAAAACCUUACAGAUUAUUCAGAGGGAGGCAAAGCCUCUAAAACAGGAAAGAAUAUUAUACUUUGAGAAGUAUAUGUUUUUAAUUCAGGCUGCUACACCAAAGUCACAGACUCGGUAGUUUAUGAACAACAGAUAUCUGCCUCUCCCAGGGGUGUAGGGUAGAGUGGAAAUCUGAGAUCAGGGUGCCAGCAAGGUAGGAUUCUAGUGAGAGUUCUCUUCAGAAUUACAGAAUUCCAUCCUCUGGGUGUAUCCUUACAUGGCAGAGAGAGGAAGCGCGCUCUCUGCCGACUUCUAUAAGGACACUAAGCCCAUCUAGAGGGCUCCACUCUCAUAACCUCGUCUAACACUGAUCACCUCCCAGAGGCCCUCUUCUAAGACCAUCACAUCAGGAUGUAAGGUUUCAAUAUACAGAUCUGGAUGGGAACUAAACAUUCACUUUCUUAACAGUGUAUAAAAAAAAAAAAUUAGGAAUUGUUUAGUGUUGGAGGAUAUAUAUAAAUUAUGGUUUGUUCAAACCAUUAAGUUGGGACCAUGCUGGCCUCUGUCGUAGCCCACAGCCUUAGGAUCAAACAGCCUUCUGGAAAUAGAUGCCAAAUAACCUGUUUACUUCAGGAUCCCUGCCACACCUAUAAGCAAGCAUGGAGACAUCAGACACCCUGAUCUCAGACAAGACCUCUCUAACACUGAAACCUUAUACCUACCUAUUCUCUUUGAUCUGUACUGCUGUAAAUAAAGCAAGUGAGGGCUUCUUGUUUGUUAGAAGCCAGACCCUUCUGAUUGGCUCAAUGGGUCAUGCCCCUGCUUUAAAAAUA